CGAACGCUGGCGGCAGGCCUAACACAUGCAAGUCGAACGGAUCCUUCGGGAUUAGUGGCAGACGGGUGAGUAACGCGUGGGAAGCUACCUUGUGGUAGGGAACAACAGUUGGAAACGACUGCUAAUACCCUAUGAGCCCUAUGGGGGAAAGAUUUAUCGCCAUGAGAUGUGCCCGCGUUAGAUUAGCUAGUUGGUAAGGUAAUGGCUUACCAAGGCGACGAUCUAUAGCUGGUCUGAGAGGAUGAUCAGCCACACUGGGACUGAGACACGGCCCAGACUCCUACGGGAGGCAGCAGUGGGGAAUAUUGGACAAUGGGGGCAACCCUGAUCCAGCCAUGCCGCGUGAGUGAUGACGGCCUUAGGGUUGUAAAGCUCUUUCAGCAGUGAAGAUAAUGACAUUAACUGCAGAAGAAGCCCCGGCUAACUUCGUGCCAGCAGCCGCGGUAAUACGAAGGGGGCUAGCGUUGUUCGGAAUCACUGGGCGUAAAGCGUACGUAGGCGGACUGAUCAGUCAGGGGUGAAAUCCCGGGGCUCAACCCCGGAACUGCCUUUGAUACUGUCAGUCUUGAGAUCGAGAGAGGUGAGUGGAACUCCGAGUGUAGAGGUGAAAUUCGUAGAUAUUCGGAAGAACACCAGUGGCGAAGGCGGCUCACUGGCUCGAUACUGACGCUGAGGUACGAAAGCGUGGGGAGCGACA
rnacentral:rRNA from 1 species